ACAAAAACAAAACCCCACACGGCACCGCCUUGUCUUAAAUAUGCUGGAGCUUUGUGGCACCUUUUACACUGGAUUCUUGGCCUUACAGACUAGAGGAACCUGAAAGUGUACUGGAUAUGAAGUCAAAGCAGCUUGUUACCCAACUUGCUUUCUUCCACAGAGUAUUGAAAUAUUAAGAACACAGGCAAAUAAUGCUUAGAUACUUUCUUUGUUUGCAUGGAGUUGCAUUUGUUUGUUUGAAGCCAAGCUGGGUGGAGAAUUUUGCAUUUUAUGUCUUUGCGGUGAAUUGUGUGGCUCUGAAAUGUGAGUAAGAUAAGAUCACAAACAAGUAAAAACAUGUGUAGGCUGAAAAAUCAAUAUGUUUCAAAAUAACCGUUGAGAAACAAAUUAUUCCUGUAUUAAUGUGCUGAAAACUAGGUUUAGGAUUCUGCUAUGGCUGAUAAUGGUACUAACAUCUAAUGCAGUACUGCCAGAAAUUAGAUCUGCUUUCUUAGUCAGAUGUUAAUCACGUCACCACCUAGAAGUAAGGAACUCAAAAAGCUGAUAAUGGUAAAUGCAAUAUUAAGGAAUUUUCUGAGCUUCCUAUUCUUUGCAUAAUAAUUAGGUCUUAACAACAAUAGUUCUUUUUAAUCACUUGUGCUGAGGUUGGCUCUUUCCAUUUGCCCUGAAAUUUUCCAAUGUUUUAGCUGAAUUACCCAGAACAGCUACUCCCUUGUUAAAGAUGUUCCUGUUUUUCAAUUCAGGAUUCAACGUCAUUGUCACUGAAGGGUGGCAGAAUUCCUGCUAACUUAAUCACAUUCAGACCUAUACCAUGCCUAACAUCAGAAAGCCAUUAAUGACUAGCCUAUGCCAACCAAAGUCUGCUUUGUCUGUGAUGACACAUCUUAAAAAUAGUUUCCUCUGAAUGAAAUCUAUGUUUCUGUACUGAAUUAGUACUUGCUGGGAGUCACUCAGUGAUCCUUACAAUUUUGCUCCAACACCCACUGCCCUUGAGAAGCACCUCAAGAAGCCAUUCCUAAUAUGAUACAAUUCAGGAACAGCUAAAGACAAUAACUGAAAACUGUAGGUUACCAGCAAUGUAAAGAUUUAGUUUGCCUUCAGAACCUGGCAUUUCUUUUUUCAGCCUGUCCUUUGCUUAGAACACUCAGGAAUGCUACGGGAUUUAAACACUUGACUUUUCGGGAAUAAUCCUAAGAAUCCACAAUCUCUGUGCCUGGUACAUAAUUCACAUAAGACAGAACUGAACAUUUCCUGUUUAUAUUUCUCUCUAUAUGUUGAAGUCUCCUGAGUGCUGGAUUUGUCUACAAGUCAGCCACGUAUGUACUAUAAACAUCUGCAUAUUUACAACGUGGAAUUCCCCAAAUUCUCAAUACCUCAGAUGAUGAUCGACAUUUAAAGAAGAUACACAUGGAAUUACAGUCUCAUCCUCUCUACAGUUUAACUUUGGAUAAUCAAUGACCACAGCCACUCUUGAAGAAGAAAAACAAGUUGGCAGCUGUGACUAUGUGUUAAAAGGGAUGUUUAUGACUGCAUGAUUAAGAACAGCCGUUGGAAGGGAUCGAGACUGGCAGGAAAGCUGUUUGCUCUACAUCUGGGAUCCUUCUGGAGUUGUGGUACUGUACAGCACAGCUUGAUUAGAUUCUACAGCUGGUCUCCCAGAACUUUUGCACUCCUAGCAGUCUUCCAGUUCUCUCUUGCUGCUCUGACCCAAGAUGGGAUAGGCUGUAGCAUCUCCCCAUUUACUGAAGCAGAAAGCCACAAGAACACAACCUGAGAGAGGAGAAAGCACUCCUGGGGACAGGCUGAGUAACAGAGACCAUCAGAACACUCAACUGAAUCAUUUGCACAACCUUUUUCUUAUCUUUCCACAAGACAAAGUUCACACAGAGAGAUAAGGAGACAGAGCAAAUCAGAAGGUGAGUUCUGAAAUGAUGAAAAGAGCCAGGAUUCAGCCAGGAAUCAUUGCUGCCUUCUAAAUUCUUUGGCUGUCAUGUUUUCAUCUUUCUUGCCUGGCUGUUCAAAACAUGAUACUGACAAAAAUCCUUUGAAACGGGGUUUUUAUGCACCUGCAAGAACAAGGGGCAUCAUCAUCACUUACACCAGUGAAGCAGCUGUAAACCAUUUAAGAUCAGCAUCUCUUUCAGGUGUCCUUGUUCUUUUCUCAGUUAGACCUGGAAGAGCUUGCACUUGGAGAACCUUUGCUGCUACUUCAUUUUCCUAAGGAAACCCAGUUAGUUUAUGGUAUUUCCAGACUUACUUAUUGAUUGAUUUUGUGUAUGUGUUACUUGGUUUACUUCAAGUGAUUAUGAACUGCUCUCUGUAGGCUGCAUUGUUGCAGCAGCAAGCAAGCUCACUUAGUUUGAUGUGCAGUGUUCUCUUUUCCUCAUAGCUGGCCCUACCUGUCUCUUAGAUGCACAUGGAGAGUUGCUCUCACUAAACAUCUGAUUGCUGUAAAACUUGCGAAUAAUUUUGGGUUUGUUUGUUUGUUUUGUUUUGUUUAGAUGCAAUUAUUUGAGUCUUUGAAUUAGCACAUCUGUUGGGAGGCCAAAGGGAUAAUACCAACUCUGUCUCUUUCUCUGUAAAUAGACAGUACACAAUUCAUUUUUCCUAAAUCCUGUGCUUGGCCCUCAGGUCCAUUGAAUGACUAUUUCCCUCUUUUCUUUCUUGUUCCUUCUCACAAAGCGCAGUACCCAGUCAGGCCCAAGAUUUGUAGCUAGUUCUAAAAGGGCAAAGGUUCCACAUGACUCUAGGCAACAGGAACACACGCACAUACAAAUCUGUCUCUUUGCUCCAGGCAACUGCUAGGCAGAGGGUUGGGUUUUUGUUCUGUUUUUGUUUGGGCUUUUUUCCCCCUGGAGGAAACGCCUUUGCUCUUAAAGCAUUCUCAUCGACCUGGGAAAAUCACACAGGAUUACUUCUUGCUCAGGUCUUCAUAUUCAGCCCAUCGCGUUGGAUAGCUGCUGCUUCCAGAGCCAUUGCUGUCUAAAGACACGCGGCCCAGGGUACCCCAAGUUUAGCCCAAGCUAAUAAAUCAAACCUGUUGGUGUUGCUAUUAAUAGUUUUCAGCAUUGUAAAAUGUUGACUUUUUAAUUACUACAUCAAACUUCACCAUUUUCUCACCAGAAGCUUGAGAGCAAGAUUGCAUAAAGCAAGCAAUGAGAACUCAAAAAAUAAUGGUACCCGGGCUGAUCCACUGGAUACCAAAGAAAAGUAAAUGUGUGGAAUCCUAUUGGUUGGUGUGAAAAGUAGCAGUUUCUUAUUGCUGAGCUGAUCUUUCUUCAUCCAAAGAUGACUUUAAAAAAAUUAAUGUUUUUUUGUUAGAAGGGUUGCAAGUUUUGUGUCAUUGUUCUGCAAUGUGGAUAAUUACUCCAUGGCUCUUAGCUCUGGGCUGCUCCUGAGGCAGACCCACAGCACAAUGGGUACGUACAGCUUGUCCCAUGUGCUCUGGGCAUCAGAGCUGAGAAUGGGACAAGGGCUGUCGCAGUGGGUCUGUGCCCUUCUGAGUUGUUCCUGGCCAUGUGAACACGUUUAUGGCUGGGGCAGUUAAGCUGCUGGCCCUGGAGCUGUUUGGAGCCGCUGGAGCCAUGCCAAGGAUCUGGCUCAACUGAUAGAUUUUGUUUUCAAGUUGCACAAGCACAAGUAACCUGCAAGGCUCGAUUAAUUUUUUCCGUAAAAUUGUUAAGUUCAGAUAGGAUUACCUUUAUAGCAGCCACACAGGGAUCCCAUGUCAGCAUUUGUCAUCUUACCUUAACUGCCCUCCCUAGAAACUGCAUCCACACCUAUAAGCCUUUGGGUCUGGCCUUACAGCUGAUAUUCUGACAGUCAGCAGAGUCCUGCCUGCAGAGGUUGGGUGAUAUUCGCCUUCUGUUUUUUAAAACUGUAGAACAUAUUCACCCCCCGAAGUAAAACCUCCAACCUCAGCCCAUAUUAUUAUUAUUAUUUAGGACAAAACUGCCCAGGUUUCAUCCUGAAGCAAAGAGUGAUUUCAAUGGGCUUGAACUUAAAAGUGUGACGUUCCCUACUUGUACUCAUGGUUUUUUCCUUAUUGUUUGCCCUACCUCUGCAUUCUUUAAAAGUUCAAAACAAGUUCCUCUUCUAAAGAGGCUUCUGCACAGGCUCUGGAACAUGUUGUGUAAGGGUGAAACAUACAUGAGUUGAACUGUGUGGCUGGUGGCUGUUUGCAGAGCUCACAGCAGGACCAAGGGUGGGAUUUGGGAAGAUUAUGUUAAGUAGGAGUUGGAAAAAUCCCCUCCUGCGUUCCCUACCGCUGCAAAAACAGAACGAUUCGCAGGAGCCUGUAUCCUACUGCAAAGGACCAUAAAACUGAGGGUGAGACGGGGCAGGCUGACCAGCCCCGGGCGGCACGCGUGCAGCGCCACGCCGCCAUUUGGUGCGGAGCGGAGCGGGCCCCCAGGGCGAGGCGAAGGCGGUUCCGCCCCAGGCGCGGCUCCCGGCGGGGCACCGCAGAGAAGCGCUUCCUGCCCGCCGCCGGCGCUCGCCCCUCGGCCUGCCCGGGUUAAGCUGAAGAGUGAGCAAAGCCUCAAAAUGGUGGUAAGGUAACACUUUGCUAUAGAAAGGGAAAGGGGAACUUCACAGAAACCAAGACAAAGGGUAACUGUACAUUUAAAAGUGCAGGGAAAGGGGGAAUUGCAGACACUUAGUCAAAAUAAAGCCAGAGAAGAGGGCAAUAAAGAUAAGAAGAAACUGUCCGGAGACCUCUGACAAGAAGGAUUAGAUCCUCCCCCCCGGCAC